CUACUGGCAUUAUUGGUUAAAUUAAAUUUCAUUUUGAUUUAUGCACUGUCUAAAAUUACCAAUGAUGAUAUAUAUUGUAUGCUACUACUUACAUGGCUUAUUAGAGAAAAACAUAUAUAUUCUAUGGUGUAGUAAAGUAGCAUCCAUGACACAAAAAAAAAACAAAAUAAUAAAAAUAACAAAUAUAAUAAAUAAAACCAAAAAAAAAAUAUAAUAAUAAUUAAACAUGCAUGCUGUCACGAGCGUGACAACUUGCUUUCUCGUAAAUGUUGUUGACCGUUGUCAUGACCGUUACUCCUAUUCAUCUCACCUCUUUAUCCCCAUUAAUUUUUUCCUCACCAACUUCUCCUCCCAAUUUCAAAACUCUUUCUUUAAAUACCUUCACU
rnacentral:lncRNA from 1 species